CUCCAGAGUGACAAUGGAAGAAGUUCUGUGAGACAGUGGCCCUCCCCCUCUGCUGGAUGGGGCCUGCUCUGGCCUGACAAUUCGUCAUGGGUCCGGGUCCCCUUGGCAGGGGUUCCCCUGCAAGGACCUCAGCAGACGAGACAGCUCGAGCCACAGGUAAAUGAUCCAAUACGUGGGUGGAAGACUCUCAGAGACAUUUUGUGAAAAUUAACAUCCACGAUGAAAUACACAGAUAUCCUAAUUGCUUUUGGAGGAGACACCAGAAUUUCCUACUUUAAGAACAAUUAGAGUAGAAGCCAAAUCAUUCAUAGAGAGAGCUUCAUAUAUGCUAUCUGCGACAAGCAUAUUACCUUUUAUCUACAAUGGGAGCUAACCCUGUGCACUGAAUGUAGAAAUUUGGAGGAAAUGGAUUAAUGGACAAGCCAC
ensembl:lncRNA